GUUCAAAAUACAGUGAUGUCUUUUCCAAGCACAUAUCUAAUUGUUCUGUGUAGAAAAUGACUCUCACUAUGUGAUUUUUGGAU